rfam:Triticum aestivum genome assembly, contig: Triticum_aestivum_CS42_TGACv1_scaffold_626275_7DS
CUUAUACUCCCUCCGUCCAAAAAUACUUGUCGGAGAAAUGCAUAAAAAUGGAUGUAUCCAGAACUAAAAUACAUCUAGAUACAUCCAUUUCUCCGACAAAAAUUUUCAGACGGAGGGAGUAUAUU